rnacentral:rRNA from 1 species
CCUUCCGCGAUUGGAUGAACCUAGGUGGGAUUAGCUAGUUGGUGAGGUAAUGGCUCACCAAGGCGACGAUCCCUAGCUGUUCUGAGAGGAUGAUCAGCCCAACUGGGACUGAGACACGGCCAAGACUAAUACGGGAGGCAGCAGUGGGGAAUAUUGCACAAUGGGGGAAACCCUGAUGCAGCCAUGCCGCGUGUGUGAAGAAGGCCUUCGGGUUGUAAAGCACUUUCAGUAGGGAGGAAAGGUAGCAGCUUAAUACGCUAUUGCUGUGACGUUACCUACAGAAGAAGGACCGGCUAACUCCGUGCCAGCAGCCGCGGUAAUACGGAGGGUCCGAGCGUUAAUCGGAAUUACUGGGCGUAAAGCGUGCGCAGGCGGUUUGUUAAGCGAGAUGUGAAAGCCCCGGGCUCAACCUGGGAAUUGCAUUUCGAACUGGCGAACUAGAGUCUUGUAGAGGGGGGUAGAAUUCCAGGUGUAGCGGUGAAAUGCGUAGAGAUCUGCAGGAAUACCGGUGGCGAAGGCGGCCCCUGGACAAAGACUGACGCUCAGGCACGAAAGCGUGGGAGCAAACAGGAUUAGAUACCCUGGUAGUCCACGCCGUAAACGAUGUCUACUCGGAGUUUGGUGUCUUGAACACUGGGCUCUCAAGCUAACGCAUUAAGUAGACCGCCUGGGGAGUACGGCCGCAAGGUUAAAACUCAAAUGAAUUGACGGGGGCCCGCACAAGCGGUGGAGCAUGUGGUUUAAUUCGAUGCAACGCGAAGAACCUGACCUACUCUUGACAUCCACCGAAUUCGCUAGAGAUAGCUUAGUGCCUUCGGGAACCGUGAGACAGGUGCUGCAUGGCUGUCGUCAGCUCGUGUUGUGAAAUGUUGGGUUAAGUCCCGCAACGAGCGCAACCCCUAUCCUUAUUUGCCAGCACGUAAUGGUGGGAACUCUAGGGAGACAGCCGGUGAUAAACCGGAGGAAGGUGGGGACGACGUCAAGUCAUCAUGGCCCUUACGAGUAGGGCGACACACGUGCUACAAUGGCGAGUACAGAGGGUUGCAAAGCCGCGAGGUGGAGCUAAUCUCACAAAGCUCGUCGUAGUCCGGAUUGGAGUCUGCAACUCGACUCCAUGAAGUCGGAAUCGCUAGUAAUCGUGGAUCAGAAUGCCACGGUGAAUACGUUCCCGGGCCUCGUACACACCGCCCGU